rnacentral:lncRNA from 1 species
AAAAAUUGCUCUGGUUUUCUGGUGGUUGUAGAGAGAAGAUAUAUGGAGACCACAAAUUGUCCCUCGUUACUGGUCCCUGAAUAGGGACAUGCUUGCUUUGACUCCAAUGGAACGCAAUCAAUUGUUCCAAUCGGCUGGCCGGCAGGUUAAUUUUUAGUUUAACUCAAGCAUGUUUCUUGUUUCCAAUUAAAACACCUAUCUGGUACUCUGGAUCGAGUGGAUUAUUACUAGCUUAGUGAAUCUGUUGGAUUAAUCUUGUCGAGCAAACGUGCAUAUUAGCCUUGAUUAAUUGUGCCAAUAUUAACUUUAAUCAAGCUAUAGAGCAAUGGUAGAUCUUCUCGUAAUAUCUGUCCAAGCCAACCAUCUAAGGGGGAAAAAAGAUAAAAGGGGAAAUUCAAUCCAGCUAUGGCUUUAUCUUUUUGCUAUUCUUCUUGUAUGGAACUUGUAAUAAAUUAUAGUAACAAUAUCUUUUGCUUCUUUGAAUGUAGUAACUGGGAUGUUUUACUCCAUCGAAAACACGGCGUGACCGUGCGAGUCAAGAAGGAAUACAGCCCUUCUGUUCAUUUUGACAGCAGCUCGGAUGGAUGUACUCCAGUACUGUGUCGUUUUUAGUUCGCUGUUGUGUUCUGAGCAGCCAGUUGGCAACGACGUACACAGUCAAGCCAUUCUGCUGCUGCUUCGUUCUGUCCACCUAAGGUUCGGCAUGUUCGUUUCCCCUUUAGCUUCUGAAAUCUGAAUUCUAGCUUGACAAUUCAACUGAAACGUCAAUAUCAAUGGUACAGUCGUGAUGUUUAGAAAAGAAAAUUGCUCACCAUGUUGUAGUUGUGAUUUGUGUGUUAGAAUCGAUCUCCUAUCAACGAUAGAAUUAAAUUUUCUCAGGAGUUAUAAACAUUAUGUAAUACAUGAUCUUAUGUCCAGGGGCUCAGAGCGGUAGAGGAGCUGUCAAUAAAAUUGGACAAGGUUAAGGGUAGAGAUAAUUCACGGUUGCAACCAAACCAGUCCAAGGGUCAUAUAUCUACAGUUUUGGGCUAGAUAUUUCCUGCAUACCCCCAGAUUGAAAGCAGCCCCUAGCUCUCAAAAGAAAAAGGGAAUUGGCCCAAGGAAUUCAGACACUACUAUAGUACUAACAUAGACAUGGUGGCGCUGCCUUGCGUAAGCCACAUGCCCGAAAUCCUCAAUCCUCAAUCCAAUUUGACAAUUCAUAUUUUCCCCCUACGAUAGUAUGAUCAAUGCCCAACCGGGGUCCAUUGAAUUGCCAUCAGAAUCUAAAUAUUACCUAUAUAUUAAUUGUUAGGUUUAGUUGAUGGGUCCAGUGGAUGAGCCAAAUAUUGAACUUUCUCCUAAUGCUCUUGCAGUAAUAUGUCAGGCGAUGAAAUCAUUACGGUAUUUAUGAUCUCACCAUGUUUUAUAUCUAAUGUUUUGCCAUCAACUUGACAGGUAAAACCAUAAUGGAGCUGAUUUGAAAAGAAAACUACUGACGACGAGGCGACAAGGAUGGAUAGAUGGAUCAACUUUAAAAAUAAAUGAGAUGUGCGUGAAACAUCUCGUUCUUUUGGUGAUGUCCUGAAACGAGGUAACAUUUGGAUGCCUUUUUGUUAAGUUCUUAUACACCUAUAACUAUGAAUAUACUUUAAUUUUUGGAAGACAAAAACAUCAACUUCUAGUACCUCACAAAUUCUGCUUGGGGUAUAUUUUCUGCACUGGACAAAGAAAAAGUUUAUUUUUACCGUGAAGUUCUCAAACUGUACGAGUAAUGCCCUUUUUUCCGUGGUUGUUUCCACUGGCAUAGCAAUGUUUUCACUUUUCACUGAUAUUUCUAGCAGGUCCCACAUAGAUAUUUUCCAUCUCCCUACUAGCUACAGGCUUAACUGGUGUCUAGUCUCAUAAGCAUGUGCAGUAGUACACUUACAAUGUGCUUACUGAAGCUUCUCUUUGUGCCUACAAGGUUGGCGCAGGUGCACGUACACACCACACAUGUGAUUCAGUGUGACUUCUUGAAAAACGGAUUCAACAAAGAGUGCUAGGUACAAAUCCGUCAUCAUCACAAAAUUCAUACUGAAGCUAGAUAGCCUAACAAUGUUCAUAUUUCAUAUGGCUAGACGAAAUUAAAAAACUGAACCAAUAUUCUAAAUGAUAUGCUACAAGUCUACGACACACUCAACCUCUACUACUGUAGCAGCGGAAUAAUGGAGUACACAUAUAUCGUCAUCAGUGCAUAUAUUCAUUAAUAUUUCUGGGUGUCCAAAUAAAGGUACGAAUAAUACUAGAAACAUAUGGACGGGAUGUAUGUAAUACGAUACUCACUUUUGCUUACUGCCUACUCCAUUAUAUUUGUUGGCUGAAGGAG